rnacentral:rRNA from 1 species
GGAUCAUUACAGAGUUCUAAAAAGACUCCCUAAACCAUUGUGAACGUACCCGUCAGACGUUGCUUCGGCGGGCGGCCCCUCCCUGGGGCCGCUGCCUCCCUCACGGGGGGUGCCCGCCGGCAGUAAUCAGAACUCUUUUGUAUUUUAGUGGCCUCUCUGAGAAAACAAGCAAAUAAGUUAAAACUUUCAACAACGGAUCUCUUGGUUCUGGCAUCGAUGAAGAACGCAGCGAAAUGCGAUAAGUAAUGUGAAUUGCAGAAUUCAGUGAAUCAUCGAAUCUUUGAACGCACAUUGCGCCCGCUAGUAUUCUAGCGGGCAUGCCUGUUCGAGCGUCAUUUCAACCCUCAAGCCCUGCUUGGUGUUGGGGUCCUACGGCUGCCGUAGGCCCUUAAAACUAGUGGCGGGCUCGCUAUAACUCCGAGCGUAGUAGUAAAAUAUCUCGCUAGGGAGGUGUCGCGGGUUCCGGCCGUGAAAGCCCCAUCUUUUACACAAGGUUGACCUCGGAUCAGGUAGGAAUACCCGCUGAACUUAAGCAUAUCAAUAAGCGGAGGAAAAGAAACCAACAGGGAUUGCCCCAGUAACGGCGAGUGAAGCGGCAACAGCUCAAAUUUGAAAUCUGGCUUCGGCCCGAGUUGUAAUUUGUAGAGGAUGCUUUUGGUGAGGUGCCUUGUGAGUUCCCUGGAACGGGACGCCAGAGAGGGUGAGAGCCCCGUAUACUUGGACACCGAGCCUCUGUAAAGCUCCUUCGACGAGUCGAGUAGUUUGGGAAUGCUGCUCUAAAUGGGAGGUAUAUCUCUUCUAAAGCUAAAUAUUGGCCAGAGACCGAUAGCGCACAAGUAGAGUGAUCGAAAGAUGAAAAGCACUUUGAAAAGAGGGUUAAAUAGUACGUGAAAUUGUUGAAAGGGAAGCGCUUGUGACCAGACUUGUGCCGGGCUGAUCAUCCAGUGUUCUCACUGGUGCACUCUGCCCGGCUCAGGCCAGCGUCGGUUCUCGGUGGGGGACAAAAGCUUCGGGAACGUAGCUCCUUCGGGAGUGUUAUAGCCCGCUGCUCAAUACCCUACUGGGGACCGAGGU